UACGUAGGGUGCGAGCGUUGUCCGGAAUUAUUGGGCGUAAAGAGCUCGUAGGCGGCUUGUCGCGUCGGAUGUGAAAGCCCGGGGCUUAACCCCGGGUCUGCAUUCGAUACGGGCAGGCUAGAGUUCGGUAGGGGAGAUUGGAAUUCCUAGUGUAGCGGUGGAAUGCGCAGAGUAUCAGGAGGAACACCGAUGGCGAAGGCAGAUCUCUGGGCCGUAACUGACGCUGAGGAGCGAAAGCGUGGGGAGCGAACAGG
rnacentral:rRNA from 1 species